UCUGCAUCUGUGUUUCCCUGUAUAACAAUAUACCAGGAUCCCUGGCUUCUGCACACUUCCUAGGAGAGUUCAGAAACGUCAAGCAGCACAAGCAUACCCUCGGAUUUGAUCCAGAUGGCUUAUGACUCCAUCUAUUUUGGCAGCUGUUAUAAAAAGAAGUUACCUCUGUGCCCUCUGGUGGUGAAUGUAAAGGAAAUUAGAAAUAUGGCCAUAAUAAUCACCCGUACAAUUUCAGAUUGCCUGGCAGGAAAUCUUCCCUUCUCUUCUCUUCACUCCCAUCACAGUGAGUUUGCCUCUGAUCCACAAUUUGACUGGAAGGAAAGAAGGCCAAGAGGGCAGUUUCUAGGAAAAAGAAGAGGAAGAGAUUCUUCUAAUGCGAAGCUGGACAUAUUGGCUGCAAUCCUGCAUGGAUUGGCAUAAUGUAAAGAAUUCAUUUGAAAUGUUCCAGGCUUGAAGAAGCGCACAAGCUGUACCAAAAAGAGACCCUUUUGAAUUUGGCUUUGUUGGUUCCAGGCUCAUGGUUGUUCCAGAAGCCAGGUGUCGGAAGGAGAACUCACAAACACUUGCUCACACACUUCUUUCUUGGCACCUUCCUUGCCAUGGAAAAAAGUGGAGGAGGGAUGAUGAUGCUGAAGUCCUUGGCAUGCAGUUAACAAAGCCUCUAACGGUGAAGCUCUAUUUUAGAAAAACAUUUUGUUUCUGUUUAGCCCCGCCAUUUUUCCUUUUCAACCUCUGUCUAGAUGUAAGUCUUUUAGCAGUAUUAACAUUGGGACAAUGGUGAAGGGGGCCUGGAGGGGCACAGAUUUUCCAUGUCAGGUUGCAGCAGUGUAUCUGCAGUAAACAAUGCAAUAAAGCUUAACCAAGAUGUGUUUCUACUUUAUCUUAUCCUACUGUAGCUCCAUAAGCUUUCUUAUAACAGGCAAGGUAAACAGCAGCUGCAUCCACAAUCCCUUACUGAGGAUGCAUGGAAAACAAAACAGAAAGAAAUGGAGAGAGUAGUUGA